GACGAACGCUGGCGGCGUGCCUAAUACAUGCAAGUCGAGCGGACAGAAGGGAGCCUGCUCCCGGAAGUUAGCGGCGGACGGGUGAGUAACACGUGGGCAACCUACCCUGUAGAUCGGGAUAACAUCGAGAAAUCGGUGCUAAUACCGGAUAAUCAUUUGAAGUGCAUGCUUCGAAUGUAAAAGAUGGCUCCGGCUAUCACUUCGGGAUGGGCCCGCGGCGCAUUAGCUAGUUGGUAAGGUGAUGGCUUACCAAGGCAACGAUGCGUAGCCGACCAGAGAGGGUGAUCGGCCACACUGGGACUGAGACACGGCCCAGACUCCUACGGGAGGCAGCAGUAGGGAAUCUUCCGCAAUGGACGAAAGUCUGACGGAGCAACGCCGCGUGAGUGAUGAAGGUUUUCGGAUCGUAAAGCUCUGUUGUUAGGGAAGAACAAGUGCCGUUUGAAUAAGGCGGCACCUUGACGGUACCUAACCAGAAAGCCACGGCUAACUACGUGCCAGCCGCCGCAGUAACAC
rnacentral:rRNA from 1 species